rnacentral:tRNA from 1 species
GGGCCUCUAGCUCAAUGGGCAGAGCAUCGGACUUUUAAUCCGCUGGUUGUGGGUUCGAGUCCCACGGGGCCCACC